GGGAAGGUGGCAUCUCCGCUGCGCACGGGCACUCCUGUGGGUACAAGGAACAGCAGCCUGAGAGACACGACCACGAGGCACUUCCAGGGCAGGAACAGGUAACCACUUCAGAAUGUUGAAAACUGUUGUACAAAGUAAUUAAUGAGCUGCCCUGGAUCUGAGGCAAGCGACGGAAGAGUCAAGAUGAUUAAAAGUCUUCUGAUAAAGGGUUUCUUUAAGGAAAAGAAAAUCCCACAAUGCAACCAGCAAUGUUAAUCUUCAAUAAAUACGCUGUUAAUAUUUAACUGGCAUUUAUUUAAACUUACAGUAACGGUCCUAUUAAAUCUAAAUUAAUUGCCCAUUUGGGAAUCUUCCCCUAAAGCCUAGCUGGGACAUGGCUAUCUAGAUACAGUCUAUGCUAGGCAUCCAGCCAUAAAGAGAAUAUUUACACACUCCUUCCAUGACUAGACUAUUGGAAUAUCCGGGUUAGAAGAGUUUUAGAGAUCUAUUGGACUGGUUGCACACUGUCUGUCCUUUAACUUUCCGCGGCCCUAUUUUUUUUUUUCUUCUCUUCAGUAAGGGAUUUUUUCUGUGUUUCCUGUAUCUACCUCUUCCCACCUUUUCUUUUUAUUUGGAUUCUCUCUCCUUUCUGUUAGUGUUUGUUUCUUCUGGACUUCAUGGUUUAGACUCAUCCUGCUGUGUUUUAUCUCAAUCUCUGCUGAGUUUCUCAGAUAAGCCAUUUAGGCAUAUGUUCAUAGCAUAUUCUGUACACACACGGAUACAUAUACAUACAUAUAAUUUUAUGUGUCACAGAGAACAUUUUAUAAUAGCAGUUGUAUAUAAAAGGCUAAGUGCCGUGAAAUAAUUCCUGAGUCAUGCUGCUUUAGAAGGGGCAGCAAGAGUGUAAUUGGGUAGAACUGAUAUUUGCUAUCCCUGAAAUCAAUCAAUAUUCUUUAUUAGAAAUGUGGACCUGGAUGAACUGCUGUGAUGUUAUUUUGCUGGGAUUGUAACCCAUUUACAUUUCCACACCAAACAUAUACAGACACACCAUACCAGUUUCAUCAGAUCAGUUGACUACUGAGACAUGGAUUUCAAACAAACACCUAAUUAGAGGGGUUAGUGUUCAAACUGAGUUAACUUUAAACCAAUGCAUCAAGGCUGCACAGAAUCUGAACUUUCCUUGGGGAAGCAGGAACUGGAUGAGACUAAAAUCGUUCACUCUAAGGUUCUAAAUGUUUAGUUCACCAAGUUUGAUUUGUAAAUGUUCACUGUUUGCUUUGCAGGCCCCGGGACAGGAAUGGUAGUAGGGAGGGGACAAAGCACCAGUGAGGAGCAGGUGAAGUGGUGGGAAGGCACCCACACAUUUUAAGAAGAUAAACAUACUCUCAACUGUUUGUUUGUGGAAGGCUUGAAUUUGUACUGCCCUAGAAGUCAAGUUUCUUUGUAUUUCUAGCUAAACUAAUACCCAAACUAUCCACUUCCUUUUUUAAUUCUUUACUUCAAUUUAAAGUAUCUAUUGACUCUGACAAACUUAUUGACUCUUACAAAGAAAUAAUAAAAUGCAUUUCUGUAUGCUUGUGAAUCUCUGUGACUUUCACCUUGUUGGUCCACCUGUAUGCAUUACCAUCGUGAGUUCAGGGCCUUUCUAAAUAAAGUAAUUGAGGUUGCCCUUGGGGCAUCACAGCCUUGUGCUUCUUUCCCAACCUGGGGUUGACAUGGGCAGCACCUCCCAGAAAGAAAUGAUUUCCCUAAAGCUUUGGUAUGCUUUCCUUCACUAGCUUAGCACAAAACUACCAGUGGUACUGCAGGUCGUGAGAAAGAAGGAGCAACUUGUGAGUGUCUUAGGAAAAUGAACUUAUGUGCUGUUCAGGUAGCUUUGAACCUGGAGGAGGCAGAAUUUGGAAAAUGUUGUCAACGUGCAUGUGAAUAAACCACAACACAUGAAAUAAUCUACCCUGGCUUUCACAACAGUUUUGACAAGGUGUCAGGAUCACAGAUACCUUUUAGAAAAGUGAGUAAUGAGAAGACUAUCUUUUUUUUUUUCAAAGGCAGAGAGCUGCUUAAAGCUAAGAUAUAAAUCAAGGGUAGAUUGACAUGUUUCUAUAUGGCCAAGUAUUAAUACUAGAUUCCCCAAGGGACAGUUGCUAGGACAAAUCAAAUUUAAUAUUUUUACCAAUGAUCUGUCAAAGGGAAUUCAUAGAGAACUCUCCCAAGUUUGCAGAAGACAUUAGGUUCCCUUAAGUAAUUAAAACUUUAGCUCACAUGGAUGAGCUGCAAAUAAUCCAGAAAGUUAUUUGGAUAUGUGGAAAAGUGGCCAAAUAUAAUGGAAGAUACUUUAGAAAAAAUAAAGUAUGCAUGUAAGUUGCUGGCAUCUAGGCAGUCGAUGAAGAGACAGUGAUGUGGAAGGGAUUGGGCAUGAAUGCUGGAGUUAAUGGCUUUGACUUUAUGUCCAAGUUCCACAAAUUACCAGCUUGACCUUGGAAAAUGUUCUCACCUCUCAGAGUCUCCUUUUCCUCUUCUAUUAAAAAGGAAUAAUACCUACCUCUUAUAUUUGCUGUGAGGGUUAAAUGAAAUAAUUUAUGUAAAGUACCAGUGAAGUACCUGGCCUGUAGUACCAACUCCACAAAUGGUUGCUACUGAUUAUUCUUUUACAACCCAGGAAAGUAAUCUUGGAAUCAGUGAUGGCUAGCAGUUCCCAAGCUAUGAUCCUUACAACACAUAUUGGAGCAUGAUACUAUAGAUUGCUUUCUGCAGGUAUCAGGAAUUUUUGCCAAAAAACAAGUGUUGGCCCAAACAUUUUUAUGGAAAACACUAAAAAGGGUAUUAGAAAAAAUAGGAACGAGAAAGAAAUGUUAUUUUUACUCAAAAUUGUUCCAUAAAAAUUCUCCUAGUAUUGCUUAUAGUAGUUAUCACUGUAGCUCACAAAUAAUAAACUUCAUGCAACCAACUGCUGAAAUCAGAAAUCGAGUCACUUUUAAUCUCUUCCCUCUUAUCACUGCCCCUCAUUACCCAAUCUCUCUCUCUCUCUUUCUCUCUCUCUCUCCCUCUUUCUCUCUCUCAGUCUUUUUCCUGUGUUCUUCCUCCAAAAUAUAUUUUACAUCCAUCCACCUUUCUCAACCUCCACUGCCUUGCCUGGCCCAAGCCAAGAUCUCCUCAUUUUCUUAUCUGGAUUCCUGAAAUUCAUCUUACGUGGAUGUCCUCCUUCUGCUCUUGCCAGCUCUGUUUCAAUCUCCACAUUGAAAGGAAGAUUUCCUGAAAUCUGACCUUGUCACUGUCCUGAUUAAAUCUUUGGUGGCUCCACACUGCAAUUUGAAUAAAGCUCCAAAUCCUUCCUGUGGUUUCUGAGCCCUCAGGACGUGGCAUCUGUGUAUUUUCAGCUUUAGCAACUACUUCUUCUUCCCUUUUGGAGCCAUGUCAGAUUUUGUUUUAUUGUAUUACACUUCUAAUUCCUCAGAGGUUCUUCUUUCUCAAUUGAGGGACUUUGCAUGUUCCACUUCCUGCCUAGGAUGCAGUCCCCAUGGUCUCGGGCUGAGUUGUCGUCACCCUUCUCGGUUCUGACUGGCUCAUGAAGGCCUCACUGUGCUAGUCCACUGGACUUGGCACAUGCCCUCUGCAUCAGUGCCUCGCAUAACACUCAGAAUACAUGUAAUGGUCUAAUUUCUGUCUUUUUCUCUGUUACAUUCCUGAAACCUAACACAAUGCCUGGAACAUAAUUGGUUUUGAUAAAUAUUUGUUGUAUUUAAGUGACCAGCACAGCUGAGGAAAAUUCAAAAAUUGAAAUAAUUUGUUUUGUAGGGACUUCCAAAUCUCUACAAACGAGGAACAUGAAAUUGAUGAUGACAUUUGGUAUUCACGAUGUAUAAGGAUAGAGUGAACACAUACUUAAUGACCAAACUCUAGCUAAAAUAAAAUAAAAAAACUCUUAAGAAAUCAAGACAGUAGUUAAAGGAUAAAAACAAGUAUGUCUGAAUAAAACUUAUACAGACAAAAAUAAUCUCUAAAUAAGAUAUGAAAAGGUUUGAAUAAAUUAACGUGUGAUAUACCCACACUGUUUGUUAGGUUAGAGGCAUCUGCUAUAUAUCUGUAACCUUUGAAGUAUGACUCAUGUAAAAUUGCCACUGUCCAAAGCAGGUAACUCGGACAUCUGAAUUUAUGUGACCCAGUGUGACCUUUCUAAUGUCAUGGUCCCAUCUACCCAGUAAUUCCAUUUUCUGCCUGGCUGGGGAUACUUCAAUUAUGCUUAUCUCGCCCUUCUCUCACCCCUACAUUAUGUUACAACUUCUUGUAGAAGGUUUAUGUACACUUGGUAAAGGCAUUUUUAAAAAUACUAUGAAAAGUGUGUGCAUGAUUUAUGUGGAAAUGCCCCCUGAGGAGGAGAACAGUUCCCUUUAGGCAGGGUUAGUUGGCCCGCCUUGCUUUCCAAUCCUUCACAUGCUUGGCUGUUUCCUCCAUGUAUGACCUCCAACUUUCACUCUUCACUGGGCUGGGGACCCCUGCUCCUCUGUGCACUCACUUGUUUUUUGUACACUGCCUCUGAAUUUACCUUGGACACAUACUUCACUUCACUUGGCUGCCUCGUUCCAAAAGUUUGACUUCUAGCAACCAGAAGAGCUGGAUUACGACAUACGUCUCUAAACUCUGUCUUAGCUCUUUCUAGCCACCUCAAUGCAUCCCCGUGUCAGCCUACAUUUUAGAGCGUGAUGGGAAGCAAUUUGUUUUCCAUAGAAUUUUUCAUUUUUCGCUCUAGUGGAAGAGAAUGGUGACAGCAAUCAUCCCAAGCAAUAGAUCAUGCAUGAGCCUGAGUUCUCGACUUUGUGCUCCACAGCGUUGGCCUCAACAGAAGGUGGGGGAAACUAGAUUAUUUUUCAAUUUCAUUUCCUGAAGACACAGAUGUGUAAAUGCACAGAGCCCAAGAGAUUGAAAAACAUGGUAGGCCAAGAUUAGACUGGCUUUAGAAAAUGUUCUCCCAAAUCAAGAUCAGAGUAAGUUAGUUGAAAAGAUUAUUUUUGAUUGCCCAGUAGGGAUGAGAACACCCUUCUCACAUUUAUUCAACAAGCAUAUCCUAGGGUAGGUGGCGUGUUACAUCAGGGACUGUCAUAUCCUUGGUAUCCAACCUCCAUGGCUACAGACUGCUGGAAGAGAUGAAUGUUAGAAAUAAUUGCACAGAUAAUCAAUGAAUCACAAUUGGAGUCAAUACUACAAAGGGAAUGUACACAAUUUCAAAAGAACAGAAAAGGGGAGAGUGUCUUAUUUAUAAUCACUCGAUCUCAGCAAAGAACAGGUAAAACACAUUCAAUGAUAAAUGGGAGAAGAAUUAAUGAACGAAUGAAUAAACAUGUAAAAAAUAUCUAGGCCUGUGCGUCUCAAUGUUUUUCCACAAAGCCAGUUGGUCAUACUUCCCCACAGGCAGACAUCAGCACUGGUUCCCUUUCCUUCUUCUAAAAGGCAGUCAUAUUCCAGAGAACUGGCGUGCUUUCCCACAUUCUUAUUAUUUAUCAAACAAAAAUAGAAGAGGUUUGUAAAUCAGGUUAUAUAAACAUUUCGAGCACAGUCAUUCUGCUCUUAGGAGAGAUAGCUAACCACACUCUCAUAACAAAUCCACUUUGAUCCCAACAUCCCACUUACGACCUCCUAGCACUCUCCAUCCAAGAAUAACAUUAAUAAUAAUCAGCCUAUUAGCCAGGGUGCUUGGUUUGAAUCCGAAAUAUUUGAGAAAUGAUCUUAUAAAUUAUUUUCCAAGGAUAUCAUCUUUAAGCAUUAACAGGCACAACUGACACUGAAUUCUGGGAAUUGAGCAUAAUUACAUGGAAAUUGACACGACACAAAUGCCAAGAAUUCUGUUAACCUUUAAUAUCUUUUAAAAACUCUCCCCUCAUAAUUAUCUCUUUCCUUUGUCUCAAAUGUUACUGAUGAAUAUUUAGAGGUAUGAGCAAACAAAAAAAGUGGAUGGAUUGUGGAAUAUUGGUCUUUGUUUGGAAUCCUAGAGUUUCCCAGGUGUUCCAUCAAGAGGUGAUAAAUAGAAUACUUGGAAUUUGACUAUUUUCAGAAGUUAUUUCUACCUUUAUAUUUGCUCUACUCGAGUUUUCUGCUUAUAAUUUCCCAUGCUGAGUAGAAGCUCCUUUGCAUUAGUAAUUACAGUAAAAGUGUAGUUCUAAGGCACUGGGUGUCUAACACAAUUCCUGACCUGUGCUGUGUCUUUGCAAAAGUCAUUGCACCUUUUCAGUGCUUCAGAUACCAUCUCUGUACAGUGAGUGUGAUGACAUUUAACUCCAACUGCAACAAUAUUUGCACAGUGAUGUAAACUUUACCAAGGGCAUUGCCAACCCUUUGCUCACUGGUAGAUCAGUGCCUCUUAAUUUUUUUCCUUCUUGCCAGUCUCCAAUGCUACCACCAAGGCUCUCUUGCUUUUUUUCUUUCCCCUCUCUCUCUACUCUUUUAAUUAAAUCCUAACUCAUCUCUCUGCUUCCAACCCUGCCUCUGCAUUAGUCAGUGCUUCUUAACAGGGGCAGGGCACACUCCUUGGAUUGUGGGAGUGGAAAAUUGAUUGGAUAUUGGUCACCACCAUAAUUGGAGAGGUACUGCUGCCGUUUAGUGUACAGAGGCCGCAGAGGUUAGAGACGCAGCAACGCAUGGCUAUUCAGCCACGGACGUCAAAUGCCUGCCAGACAUUUAGAUAAUUAUUUCAACUCUUCAAGAUUCUAAGGCCACAGACCAUUGAAACAUAAAGAAGACUAUAUAUGGAAUCUAGGAAGAGGAAAGGAAUUUGGGACAACUAUUUAAGACUGCAAGAGAAGAGCCACAGCUUGAGCCAAGGAUUUUUUGGAAGUUUAUCCACAAGACCUCAGGAGCUAGAUUCCAAUCUUUCUGAUUCAAAGAAUCCCCAAACUCAAUGAGGACACGUUUUCCUCCCGAGAACAGCAGAAUGGUAACAAAGAACACAUGAAAAGAAAAUGCUUUCAAGGACCAAAGGAAUUCAUCUACAAAUAUGGAAUUUCCAGCAUGGAAGUCAGUGACAAAGCCCUGGCAUACCCCCAUCGCAGGUGUCGUGAGAACACCGUCCAGUGGGACGAGGCCAGCCCUGCCCUGAGAAGCUGAGAUUCCCACCCCACCUGGAGGGAGCUGAGCACCCUCACAGCAACUCUGAGCCCCUGACUCCAAAGGAGACUCUUCUCCUGUGGUAUCAGACGUAGAGGGCGGGCUCCCUUAAAGUAAAAUUCCACAACAGGGCAGUAGAAAGAUGCAAUGAAACAUAUACGAGUUAUUAAAUAUUGUCAUCAAGAUGAGUAAUAAAUCAGACAUUUUAUGGUUUCUGA